rnacentral:RNase_P_RNA from 1 species
GAAGCGGACCGGACGGUCGCCGAGCAUAUCGCCGCGGGUUGCCACACCAACCCGUCAAGCGGCUAUGCUUGGAGGAAAGUCCGGGCUCCGCAGGACAAGGUGGUGGGUAACGCCCACCGGCCGAAAGGCCAGGGAAAGUGCAACAGAAAGCAAACCGCCGCGCGGGCCGUUGGUCCGCGAGGUAAGGGUGAAACGGUGAGGUAAGAGCUCACCAGCAGGCCGGGCGACCGGCUUGGCUAGGCAAACCCCGCCUGGAGCAAGAUCAAGCAGGAAGAAGUGGACGCGGCCGGUCGUUUCAAUCGUCCGACCGCUCCCGCGGGUCGGUCCGGUCCGCCAACUACUUCCGGGUAGAUCGCUCGAGGGGCCGAGCAAUCGUCCUCCCAGAGAAAUGACCGUCGCCCAUGCCGCUUCGGCACGGGGACAGAACCCGGCUUACAGGUCCGCUUCAAAC